GGAUAGCUCAGUUGGUAGAGCAUCAGACUUGGGUUCCGAAGGUUCUGAGUUCAAAUCCCAGCAACCA
rnacentral:tRNA from 1 species